rnacentral:rRNA from 1 species
AACGCUAGCUACAGGCUUAACACAUGCAAGUCGAGGGGCAGCGGGGGAGUAAGCUUGCUUAUUCCUGCCGGCGACCGGCGCACGGGUGAGUAACACGUAUGCAACCUGCCCUUGGCAGGGGGAUAACCCGGAGAAAUCCGGACUAAUACCGCGUAACACCCUUGGGGGACAUCCCCCGGGGGUCAAAGGAAGCAAUUCCGGCCAAGGAUGGGCAUGCGUCGCAUCAGGCAGUUGGCGGUGUAACGGACCACCAAACCGACGAUGCGUAGGGGUUCUGAGAGGAAGGCCCCCCACACUGGUACUGAGACACGGACCAGACUCCUACGGGAGGCAGCAGUGAGGAAUAUUGGUCAAUGGGCGCAAGCCUGAACCAGCCAAGUCGCGUGAGGGAAGACGGUCCUAUGGAUUGUAAACCUCUUUUGUCAGGGAGCAAGUCGGCCACGCGUGGUGCGAUUGAGAGUACCUGAAGAAAAAGCAUCGGCUAACUCCGUGCCAGCAGCCGCGGUAAUACGGAGGAUGCGAGCGUUAUCCGGAUUUAUUGGGUUUAAAGGGUGCGUAGGCGGACUGUUAAGUCAGUGGUAAAAUCGAGAGGCUCAACCUCUUCCGGCCAUUGAAACUGGCAGACUUGAGUGAGCGAAAAGUAUGCGGAAUGCGUGGUGUAGCGGUGAAAUGCAUAGAUAUCACGAAGAACUCCGAUUG